GGUACUAGGUGUAGGAGGUAUCGACCCCUCCUGUGCCGGAGUUAACGCAAUAAGUACCCCGCCUGGGGAGUACGGCCGCAAGGCUGAAACUCAAAGGAAUUGACGGGGGCCCGCACAAGCGGUGGAGUAUGUGGUUUAAUUCGACGCAACGCGAAGAACCUUACCAAGCCUUGACAUUGCUCGCAACGGGUAGAGAUACCUGGUUCUUCUUCGGAAGACGAGACAACAGGUGGUGCAUGGCUGUCGUCAG
rnacentral:rRNA from 1 species